rnacentral:siRNA from 1 species
AUCAAAACUCCUGGAACUGACUGC